rnacentral:sRNA from 1 species
ACUGCGUUCCUCCGCGCUGUCCACGCCUACCUGACAACUGCCGGUUACAUUUUGUUAGCC